GAUGAACACUAGCGGGAGGCUUAACACAUGCAAGUCGAGGGGCAUCACAGGUAGCAAUACUGGGUGGCGACCGGCGCACGGGUGAGUAACGCGUAUGUAACCUACCCUGUACAGGGGGAUAGCCCGGAGAAAUUCGGAUUAAUACCCCAUAAUGAUAUCGAGGGGCAUCUUUUGAUAUUUAAAGCUGAGGCGGUACAGGAUGGGCAUGCGUAACAUUAGCUAGUUGGUAGGGUAACGGCCUACCAAGGCGACGAUGUUUAGGGGUCCUGAGAGGGUGAUCCCCCACACUGGUACUGAGACACGGACCAGACUCCUACGGGAGGCAGCAGUGAGGAAUAUUGGUCAAUGGGCGACAGCCUGAACCAGCCAUCCCGCGUGAAGGAAGACUGCCCUAUGGGUUGUAAACUUCUUUUCCGGAGGAAUAAAAUCCCGAACGAGUUCGGGACUGAAGGUACUCCGGGAAUAAGCAUCGGCUAACUCCGUG
rnacentral:rRNA from 1 species